rnacentral:rRNA from 1 species
ACUCCUACGGGAGGCAGCAGUGGGGAAUAUUGGACAAUGGGGGAAACCCGUAGCAUCCAGCCAUGCCGCGUGUGUGAAGAAGGCCUUCGGGUUGUAAAGCACUUUCAGUGGGGAGGAAAGGUUGAUGGUUAAUACCCAUCAGCUGUGACGUUACCCACAGAAGAAGCACCGGCUAACUCCGUGCCAGCAGCCGCGGUAAUACGGAGGGUGCAAGCGUUAAUCGGAAUUACUGGGCGUAAAGCGUGCGCAGGCGGUCUGUUAAGCGAGAUGUGAAAG